AGAGUUUGAUCCUGGCUCAGGACGAACGCUGGCGGCGCGCCUAACACAUGCAAGUCGAACGGUGAAGAGGAGCUUGCUCCUCGGAUCAGUGGCGGACGGGUGAGUAACACGUGAGCAACCUGGCUCUAAGAGGGGGACAACAGUUGGAAACGACUGCUAAUACCGCAUAACGUAUCGGGAUGGCAUCUUUCUGAUACCAAAGAUUUUAUCGCUUAGAGAUGGGCUCGCGUCUGAUUAGAUAGUUGGCGGGGUAACGGCCCACCAAGUCGACGAUCAGUAGCCGGACUGAGAGGUUGAACGGCCACAUUGGGACUGAGACACGGCCCAGACUCCUACGGGAGGCAGCAGUGGGGGAUAUUGGACAAUGGGGGCAACCCUGAUCCAGCGACGCCGCGUGAGGGAAGAAGGUUUUCGGAUUGUAAACCUCUGUUGACGGAGAAAAAAAUGAUGGUAUCCGUUUAGAAAGCCACGGCUAACUACGUGCCAGCAGCCGCGGUAAUACGUAGGUGGCAAGCGUUGUCCGGAAUUACUGGGUGUAAAGGGAGUGUAGGCGGGAUAUCAAGUCAGAAGUGAAAAUUACGGGCUCAACUCGUAACCUGCUUUUGAAACUGACAUUCUUGAGUGAAGUAGAGGCAAGCGGAAUUCCUAGUGUAGCGGUGAAAUGCGUAGAUAUUAGGAGGAACACCAGUGGCGAAGGCGGCUUGCUGGGCUUUUACUGACGCUGAGGCUCGAAAGCGUGGGGAGCAAACAGGAUUAGAUACCCUGGUAGUCCACGCCGUAAACGAUGAUUACUAGGUGUGGGGGGAUUGACCCCUUCCGUGCCGGAGUAAACACAAUAAGUAAUCCACCUGGGGAGUACGACCGCAAGGUUGAAACUCAAAGGAAUUGACGGGGGCCCGCACAAGCAGUGGAGUAUGUGGUUUAAUUCGACGCAACGCGAAGAACCUUACCAGGUCUUGACAUCAAGUGACCGCCUAAGAGAUUAGGCUUUCCCUUCGGGGACACAAAGACAGGUGGUGCAUGGUUGUCGUCAGCUCGUGUCGUGAGAUGUUGGGUUAAGUC
rnacentral:rRNA from 1 species